rnacentral:lncRNA from 1 species
AGCUCUUUUUUAGUCUUUAGUUCUUUAAUUUUGAGUUAAUUGAUGAUCUAAUGAAUUUCUAACUCUUAAACUUUGAAACCCAAAACUCAAGUAUAUAUCCUGUCUAUUUAAAGCCUAUAUCUUGUUUCUGAGAUAACAAUGAAAAGAACAACAAAACUAUAUGCAAUGGGUAAGAACAACAAAAAGUCAAACAGCAUCAUACUAAAUAUAUUAGAAAGGAUAAAUCUCCAUAAAUUUAUAUUUGAUUUGCA